rnacentral:lncRNA from 1 species
GGGGCUCCCUGCCCAGAAAGACAGUGAUGGGGGUUUCUAGAACAAGGAAACCCAGAAGGUUCCCAGAUGUCCAGGAGACAGGAAAUGAGAAUUUCAGAGCCAGCGGGAAGACAAGGUGCCUCACUGAGCUGCUGGACCAUGAAAGGUGAAAAACACACUGAAGAUGAGAGCCAUCUCGGGAGCACCCGAACACAGAUGUCCAUAAAGGAGCUCGUGAACACCACGGACCCUCCCGGGACCCAUCCCAUCCAGGCCUCCUUCCCCUCCACCAUGCUCUCUCUGUGGCUACUCUGGGUCUAACACAACCACUAGAAAAACUAUCCCCAAACAGGCACAGUGAGAGCACACGAACAGACAUGCUGAUACAGUUCGGACAUUCGUCCCUUCCAAAUUUCAUAUUGAAAUGCCAUCUCCAGUGUUGGAGGUGAGGCCUGGUGGGAGGUAUUGGAUCAUGGAGGUGAACCCCUCAUGAAUGGCUUUGCACCAUCUCCUUG